GUAGAGACUGCGGGAGCAAGAGAAAGAUCAUCGCUGGGGCUCCGGGUGCUAAUGAAUUAACGGGGAAGCGGAGUUAAUGAGUCCUGAGGAGGAGCUCUUGUCAGAAGUUCCGAGAAGGAAGGCUAUCUUCCCUAGUUGUGGACAUCAACUAGGAUCAAGGUUGUGAAAUGGUUGGCUGAACUCCACAGAUCUCAGGAAUCUUACGGAAGUCUUCCACACCGUUCUCUGAGGCCUUGGAAGGACAAUGCUGCCCAACUGAUUUAGAUGAAAUAUGAACGACCUGCCAGGGUGGCACUGAAGAGCUAAGUCAGAAAUGGGCUCAAGGAGUCCUCAGCCUGGGGAGGAAGGAGGGAGCCGACCGUCUCUUGUUUGGUCUUCAGUCGUGAUACACAAUGUUUUCUCUUCUCAGUGUCUUCACAUAUGUUUUCCUCCUCAUGUCCUCCACACACUUCUGUCUUGUAAAGCUCUGUCUUGCUCAGGGGAAUGUCCCCGACUGCACGAAGCUGGGGAGAUGAGACCAACUCCAGGGUCACCAUUGGAUGCCACUCCCACAUUCUGUGGUGGCCUCACUGCCUGCUGGUCAUUUCCAGUGUUUUGUCCACCCCAAGAGAGCAGCUGAGUCUGAUCCCACAUUGAAGACCCAGCACCAAUACUGUGGCCCGCAUAAAUACAAU